rnacentral:rRNA from 1 species
GACGAACCGUCCGAACGUUAUUCGGAAUCACUGGGCUUAAAGGGUGCGUAGGCGGCGCGGAAAGUUGGGUGUGAAAUCCCUCGGCUUAACCGAGGAACGGCGCCCAAAACUACCGUGCUCGAGGGAGAUAGAGGUGAGCGGAACUUAGGGUGGAGCGGUGAAAUGCGUUGAUAUCCUAAGGAACACCGGUGGCGAAAGCGGCUCACUGGAUCGGUACUGACGCUGAGGUGCGAAAGCGUGGGGAGCAAACAGG